UAGCAAUUCUCGAUCUAUUUUUGUAUUAUUAAACAAGUAGCUCAAGUAAGGUUUACAGUAAACACACGUGGAUGUGGACGUGGGAAUGUGGGUAAAAAAUCAUACAAUAUAGUUGGCAAUGCAACUACUAAAGCCUAUCGUAGUCGGAUAAUGAUUAUUAGUCCCUCCAUUCCAAAUUAAGGGACAGUGACCGCAUGCAGAAAAGAUGAUUAAUAUAGAUGGACACAGUGACUGUCAGCAAAAAUAUUUAUUACAGCGCCAUGAAGAUCGAAAGAGUCUUUUAAUCUCUGUAGCCACCCACUUGGAGACAUCAGCCUUAGAUUUCUUUGGUUCUAAUGGAUGGCUGCAUCAAAGACUUGUUGGUUUCGCUUAGACAAGAAUAUGUUCUUGUUACCUAGCGUGU
rnacentral:lncRNA from 1 species